GACGUAGGGUGCGAGCGUUGUCCGGAUUUAUUGGGCGUAAAGCGCUCGUAGGCGGCUCGUCGCGUCGACCGUGAAAACCCGCGGCUUAACUGCGGGCUUGCGGUUGAUACGGGCGGGCUAGAGUUCGGUAGGGGAGACUGGAAUUCCUGGUGUAGCGGUGAAAUGCGCAGAUAUCAGGAGGAACACCGGUGGCGAAGGCGGGUCUCUGGGCAACUACUGACGCUGAGGAGCGAAAGCGUGGGGAGCGAACAGG
rnacentral:rRNA from 1 species